rnacentral:rRNA from 1 species
CACGCCGUAAACGAUGGAUGCUAGCCGUCGGAUAGCUUGCUAUUCGGUGGCGCAGCUAACGCAUUAAGCAUCCCGCCUGGGGAGUACGGCCGCAAGGUUAAAACUCAAAGGAAUUGACGGGGGCCCGCACAAGCGGUGGAGCAUGUGGUUUAAUUCGACGCAACGCGAAGAACCUUACCAGCUCUUGACAUUCACUGAUCGCCUGGAGAGAUCCGGGAGUCCUAGCAAUAGGCAGUGGGACAGGUGC